GGACUACCGGGGUAUCUAAUCCCGUUUGCUCCCCUAGCUUUCGCGCCUCAGCGUCAGUAGAGAUCCAGUCGGGCGCUUUCGCCACCGGCGUUCCUUCUGAUAUCAACGCAUUUCACCGCUCCACCAGAAGUUCCCCCGACCCCUACCUCCCUCGAGCCUACCAGUAUCCAAGGCACUUCCCCAGUUGAGCUGGGGGCUUUCACCCCGGACUUGAUAAGCCGCCUACGCGCCCUUUAAGCCCAGUGAUUCCGAACAACGUUCGCACGGUUCGUCUUACCGCGGCUGCUGGCAC
rnacentral:rRNA from 3 species